UCCUAGAAUACACAAGUACAUCGUCUAUAAAAUUAAUUGCAAAAUCUGAGCAGUCUUCAAACCAAAAGGUAAACAUGUCCACUGGUAAUGUCCAUCCUGCGUUACAAAGGCAGUCUUCUUUCUGUCUUCAAUUCUUAGCGGGAUUGCCCAGAACGCUGAAUUAAUGUCUAAUGUUGUAAAGUAUACUGAGCCUCUUGUCUUUGUCACCAAGUCAUUGAUCAAUGGGAAUGGUUGAGCCUGCGGUCUUAUCUUGCAGGUUAAAUAAUUUGUUAAAAAUCGCAGACAAAAGCCAGAGUGAAUAUGUAAUAUAAUAUAAUGUAACAUAAUGUGA